AUUGAACGCUGGCGGCAUGCCUUACACAUGCAAGUCGAACGGUAACAGGUCUUCGGAUGCUGACGAGUGGCGAACGGGUGAGUAAUACAUCGGAACGUGCCUAGUAGUGGGGGAUAACUACUCGAAAGAGUGGCUAAUACCGCAUGAGAUCUACGGAUGAAAGCAGGGGAUCGCAAGACCUUGUGCUACUAGAGCGGCCGAUGGCAGAUUAGGUAGUUGGUAGGAUAAAAGCUUACCAAGCCGACGAUCUGUAGCGGGUCUGAGAGGACGAUCAGCACCAAUGGGACUGGGACACGGCCCAGACUCCUACGGGAGGCAGCAGUGGGGAAUUUUGGACAAUGGGCGCAAGCCUGAUCCAGCAAUGCCGCGUGCAGGAUGAAGGCCUUCGGGUUGUAAACUGCUUUUGUACGGAACGAAAAAAGGUCUUUCUAGAUCGUCUGACGGUACCUUAUGAAUAAGCACCGGCUAACUCCGUGCCAGCAGCCGCCGUAACAC
rnacentral:rRNA from 1 species